rnacentral:rRNA from 1 species
CCUACGGGAGGCAGCAGUAGGGAAUCUUUCACAAUGGGCGAAAGCCUGAUGGAGCAACGCCGCGUGCAGGAUGAAGGCCUUCGGGUUGUAAACUGCUUUUAUAAGCGAGAAAUAUGAUGGUAACUUAUGAAUAAGGAUCGGCUAACUACGUGCCAGCAGCCGCGGUCAUACGUAGGAUCCGAGCAUUAUCCGGAGUGACUGGGUGUAAAGAGUUGCGUAGGUGGCAUAAUAAGUAGCUAGUGAAAUCUGGUGGCUCAACCAUUCAGACUAUUAGCUAAACUGUUAAGCUCGAGACCGUUAGGGGUAACUGGAAUGUCUAGUGUAGGAGUGAAAUGCGUAGAUAUUAGAAGGAACACCAAUAGCGUAGGCAGGUUACUGGGACGGUUCUGACACUAAGGCACGAAAGCGUAGGGAGCAAACGGGAUUAGAUACCCUUGUAGUC